UAGAUACGUGUGUAGCCGGCAUUAGAAUGGCAAUGAAACGAAUACCUAUAUUAAAAACGGGUCACUCAGUUUUUUAAGUCGAAAAACGCUCGACAUGUACGUGUGACAUAUGUGUUUUACGUGAGUGACCCGUUGUAUAUAUAUUUAAUAUGUCUGUGACUCACGGAAGUUUUGUUAUUUAAACGAAUACCUACCUACUGUAGAAAUUAUAAUUAAUUGGAGAAUUAGUCUGAUCAACCAUUAAAAUUGAUAAUAAAUGGCUUGCUUUAUUUUUGUAAUGCUGGCACUUUGUAAUCUAAAUUAAAAGGAAUGUAAAAUUUUCUUCUAUGUUCAAACUAGAACUAGGGGUAUAUAAAGCUACCGUUUUGAGUUUUUCAUCAGUACAUUCAAAUCAUUCGUCUAUAAACGAUUAAAAAACUCCAAAAAAAUCUAAAUAUUCCCAAGUUUUCGAAAAACAUCCUAUUCACUUCUUUUAUCCGCUUCAGUCCUUUUGGACGUUAUAGUAUUUUGCUACUUGGUAGUACUCUCUACAAUCAAUAAACAUGUGCUGCGGAGGUUGUGGUUGCUGCGGAGGCUGCUGCGGUGGAUGCUGCUGCCCUUGCAUCACCAUCUACACAUGCUGUACCAAGAUCUGCUGAGUAGUCGCCGCAGAGGUGCCGGCAGCCGUGCCAGCGCUUCUGAUGCUUCUACCAAAACCCGUGUUGUGUGGAUGUCAUAUUCUCACAAGUGUUGUUGCGUGAAAUAAAUUAUGUAUUAAGCUUAAA